rnacentral:misc_RNA from 1 species
UCUCCGUAGGUGAACCUGCGGAGGGAUCAUUACCGAGUGAGGGUCCUUGUGGCCCGACCUCCAACCCCCUGUCUUCCGACUCUGUUGCCUCGGGGGCGACCCGGCCUUCGGGCGUCGGGGCCCCCGGCGGACCACUCAACUCUGCAUCUUUGCGUCUGAGUCUUAUAUAUGAAUUAAAUCAAAACUUUCAACAACGGAUCUCUUGGUUCUGGCAUCGAUGAAGAACGCAGC